CUGAGAUACGGCCCAGACUCCUACGGGAGGCAGCAGUGGGGAAUUUUGCACAAUGGGCGCAAGCCUGAUGCAGCGACGCCGCGUGAGGGAUGAAGGCCUUCGGGUUGUAAACCUUUUUCGCUCAUGGUCAAGCCAUACUGUUGGGUGUGGUGAGGGUAGUGGGUAAAGAAGCGCCGGCUAACUACGUGCCAGCAGCCGCGGUAAUACGUAGGGCGCGAGCGUUGUCCGGAAUUAUUGGGCGUAAAGGGCUUGUAGGCGGUUGGUCGCGUCUGCCGUGAAAUUCUCUGGCUUAACUGGGGGCGUGCGGUGGGUACGGGCUGACUUGAGUGCGGUAGGGGAGACUGGAACUCCUGGUGUAGCGGUGGAAUGCGCAGAUAUCAGGAAGAACACCGGUGGCGAAGGCGGGUCUCUGGGCCGUUACUGACGCUGAGGAGCGAAAGCGUGGGGAGCGAACAGGAUUAGAUACCCUGGUAGUCCACGCUGUAAACGUUGGGCACUAGGUGUGGGGGCCACCCGUGGUUUCUGCGCCGUAGCUAACGCUUUAAGUGCCCCGCCUGGGGAGUACGGCCGCAAGGCUAAAACUCAAAGGAAUUGACGGGGGCCCGCACAAGCGGCGGAGCAUGCGGAUUAAUUCGAUGCAACGCGAAGAACCUUACCAAGGCUUGACAUAUACUGGACCGCAUCAGAGAUGGUGUUUCCCUUCGGGGCUGGUAUACAGGUGGUGCAUGGUUGUCGUCAGCUCGUGUCGUGAGAUGUUGGGUUAAGUCCCGCAACGAGCGCAACCCUUGCCCUAUGUUGCCAGCACGUGAUGGUGGGGACUCGUGGGGGACUGCCGGGGUUAACUCGGAGGAAGGUGGGGAUGACGUCAAAUCAUCAUGCCCCUUAUGUCUUGGGCUUCACGCAUGCUACAAUGGUUGGUACAGAGGGUUGCGAUACUGUGAGGUGGAGCGAAUCCCUUAAAGCCAGUCUCAGUUCGGAUUGGGGUCUGCAACUCGACCCCAUGAAGGUGGAGUCGCUAGUAAUCGCAGAUCAGCAACGCUGCGGUGAAUACGUUCUCGGGCCUUGUACACACCGCCCGUCACGUCACGAAAGUUGGUAACACCCGAAGCCCAUGGCCUAACCACGUUUGUGGGGGGAGUGGUCGAAGGUGGGAUUGGCGAUUGGGACGAAGUCGUAACAAGGUAGCCGUACCGGAAGGUGCGGCUGG
rnacentral:rRNA from 1 species